UACGUAGGGGGCGAGCGUUGUCCGGAUUUAUUGGGCGUAAAAGGCUUGUAGGUGGCCACGUCAAGUCGGAUGUGAAAUCUCCCGGCUCAACUGGGAGGGGUCAUUCGAUACUGGCGGGCUCGAGGCCGGUAGGGGGAAGCGGAAUUCCCGGUGUAGUGGUGAAAUGCGUAGAUAUCGGGAGGAACACCAGUGGCGAAGGCGACUACCUGGCCUGUUCUUGACGCUGAGGCGCGAAAGCUAGGGGAGCAAACGGG
rnacentral:rRNA from 1 species